rnacentral:rRNA from 1 species
UACGUAGGGUGCAAGCGUUAAUCGGAAUUACUGGGCGUAAAGCGUGCGCAGGCGGUUGUGUAAGACAGAUGUGAAAUCCCCGGGCUCAACCUGGGAACUGCAUUGUGACUGCACGGCUGGAGUGCGGCAGAGGGGGAUGGAAUUCCGCGUGUAGCAGUGAAAUGCGUAGAUAUGCGGAGGAACACCGAUGGCGAAGGCAAUCCCCUGGGCCUGCACUGACGCUCAUGCACGAAAGCGUGGGGAGCAAACAGG